rnacentral:misc_RNA from 1 species
GAUGAAGAACGUAGUGAAAUGCGAUAAGUAAUGUGAAUUGCAGAAUUCAGUGAAUCAUCGAGUCUUUGAACGCACAUUGCGCCCCCUGGUAUUCCGGGGGGCAUGCCUGUCCGAGCGUCAUUGCUGCCCUCAAGCACGGCUUGUGUGUUGGGCCCCCGUCCCCGGUUCUCCCCGGGGACGGGCCCGAAAGGCAGCGGCGGCACCGCGUCCGAUCCUCGAGCGUAUGGGGCUUUGUCACCCGCUCUGUAGGCCCGGCCGGCGCCAGCCGACACCCCAACUUUAUUUUCUAAGGUUGACCUCGGAUCAGGUAGGGAUACCCGCUGAACUUAAGCAUAUCAAUAACGGAGGA